rnacentral:rRNA from 1 species
GUCCACGCCGUAAACGAUGAGUGCUUGGUGUAGCGGGGUAUCGACCCCUGCUGUGCCGAAGUCAACACAUUAAGCACUCCGCCUGGGGAGGUACGGUCGCAAGACUGAAACUCAAAGGAAUUGACGGGGGCCCCGGCACAAGCGGUGGAGCAUGUGGUUUAAUUCGAAGCAACGCGCAGAACCUUACCUGGGUUUGAACUGUACAGGAAAGUCUCAGAGAUGAGAGCCCCUCUUCGGAGGUCUGUAUAGAGGUGCUGCAUGGCUGUCGU